rnacentral:rRNA from 1 species
UACAGAGGUCUCAAGCGUUGUUCGGAUUCAUUGGGCGUAAAGCGCACGUAGGCGGAUUGCUAAGUCAGGGGUGAAAUCCUGGAGCUCAACUCCAGAACUGCCUUUGAUACUGGCGAUCUUGAGUCCGGGAGAGGUGAGUGGAACUGCGAGUGUAGAGGUGAAAUUCGUAGAUAUUCGCGAAGAACACCAGUGGCGAAGGCGG